AGCUAGCUAAACAGGCUGGUACCCAGACUAAUGGAAAGCUAGCUAAACAGGCUGGUACCCAGACUAAUGGAAAGCUAGCUAAACAGGCUGGUACCCAGACUAAUGGAAAGCUAGCUAAACAGGCUGGUACCCAGACUAAUGGAAAGCUAGCUAAACAGGCUGGUACCCAGACUAAUGGAAAGCUAGCUAAACAGGCUGGUACCCAGACUAUAUUUUCUACAUCUGUAUUUUUCUGAACCAAGUCAUAUGUGUUGCUGAGAUAUCUUUGUAAAUCUCAACACCACAACCUAUUUAAAAACCAUAAUGCCAAUUGCUACAAAUGUGUAUUUUCUAUCUUUGUGGGUUUUUGAAAAAAAAUGUUUGAUGGUCCUCAACAUUGAGUGUGUUUUAUAUAUUCAGACUAGCGUCUUGUCCUACAGAAUUGUCUGUACUUUAAUGCUCCUUGUGUUUUAUAUAUUCAGACUAGCAUCUUCAAAUUGUCGUCCCCCCCCCCCCCCCUAAAAAAUAUAAUCCACCUUUCCAGGAAUGUCCUCUUCUAAAACGCCCCUUCUUAAAGGAUAACAGUGUAUUUUGUAGAAAUAUAUCAAGAGUACUAAGAAGAAGUUAUUAUGUAUCUCUGUACAGAACAACGGAAUGGUUUAAAAUGAGCUUGUUGUUUUGUCCUGGAAAUAACUAAAUCAAGGCAAUAUUAUUGCAAA